rnacentral:lncRNA from 1 species
CACCAGAUCCUUAACACACUGAACCACCAGGAAACUCCCCUGGGAGGUGACUUUAAUACCAUCCCUUCAGUCUACAAAUGACUAGAGGAAGUUUCUCCGUGUUCUUCUAUGUCCUUAUCCAAGGACCUAUAUGGAGCCCAGAGGCCCUGAAAAAGAUUUUCACAACAGUAUCAUCCCUUUGAAAAAAAAGAAACUUCAAUGUUGAGAGUAGUUUGAUUCUCACCACUUGCAAGGAAGAUGGGGAAGAAGCAGAGGCACCUCAAGACAUCAGAG